CCUGAUAGCUCAGAUGGUAAAGCAUCUGCCUACAACGCAGGAGACCCGGGCUCGAUCCCUGGGUCAGGA
rnacentral:tRNA from 1 species